rnacentral:rRNA from 1 species
AAGCAACGCGAAGAACCUUACCAGGUCUUGACAUCCUCUGACAACCCUAGAGAUAGGGCUUUCCCUUCGGGGACAGAGUGACAGGUGGUGCAUGGUUGUCGUCAGCUCGUGUCGUGAGAUGUUGGGUUAAGUCCCGCAACGAGCGCAACCCUUGAUCUUAGUUGCCAGCAUUUAGUUGGGCACUCUAAGGUGACUGCCGGUGACAAACCGGAGGAAGGUGGGGAUGACGUCAAAUCAUCAUGCCCCUUAUGACCUGGGCUACACACGUGCUACAAUGGACAGAACAAAGGGCUGCAAGACCGCAAGGUUUAGCCAAUCCCAUAAAUCUGUUCUCAGUUCGGAUCGCAGUCUGCAACUCGACUGCGUGAAGCUGGAAUCGCUAGUAAUCGCGGAUCAGCAUGCCGCGGUGAAUACGUUCCCGGGCCUUGUACACACCGCCCGUCACACCCCGAGAGUUUCAACACCCGAAGUCGGUG